AGGCUGUUUGAAAAUAUUUCAGGAAGUGAAUAUCCGCUUUGACGCGGACGUAAACAAACGUAGCUUAGCAAUCUAUUCACUGUUGUAACGACAGAGAGAUUGUAUAGUAGUACAAUGUAUUUCUCUGCCGCCUAGAUCUAGAACGGUCUGAUAUCCGAUAACAGGAACCGCGUUUGGUUAGGAGCUUUACUUGAGAAGAUCUCAACUCAACAAUGUCUACUUCAAAUUUCAAGAAUAAGUGUGUGACGCAAGUCAACUGUGUAUACUGUGAUAGUCUGCUGUGUAUGAGGGGGAUGAAAGCAGUACUUUUGGCUGAUACGGAAAUAGAGUUGUUCUCAACCGACAUACCCCCAAAUAGGACAGUUGAUUUUGUGGCAAGCUGCUAUUCUACUGAAAGCUGCAAAUGCAAAUUAAGAGACAUUGCUUGCUUGAAAUGUGGGAAUGUUGUGGGAUAUCACGUGGUGGCCCCAUGCAAGCCCUGCUUGCUCUCCUGCAACAAUGGUCACUUCUGGAUGUUCAACAGUGAUGCUGUGUCCACCAUCAAUAGACUGGAUGCAACAGGUUUGAGACAUCUGGUGUAAAAACACUGUCUAUGCCCACUGCUUAUGGUCAGACAGCAUUUGCAUACCAUUGUUUCAUAGAUUAUCUGCUCAUAUCCUUCAAAGAUUCUAUGUAAACACAAAAGGGCAGAACCUUCUGCUGUGGGGAGAUCUUCCAGAACUGGAAGACAGCGAUGAUGAGAGCCUGGACAGUUUCUCAGAAGAAGAGUACCUCAGAUAAAAAUGCUCACGGCCAAAGGAAGUAGACUCUUACGGUAGCGAACUAGUUUGCUUUCACUCACACAGAUCUCCGUUUAAAGCACAUUGUCUUGUCUUUAGCUGACUGGGAAAAGGCAAAAGAUCUUUAUCGUAGCUUGAUUCAUAUGCAUUCUUUUGCUAUUUUCUUUUAGCAUCUUCUCAGACUAGUUUAAGUAUUUCAGAGUGCCACUACCAAAGAAACAUGUUUCUGUUUUCUUUGCUUUACAGUUGCAGUAGCACAAAACAUGAUGAUUGGACUUUAAGUUUUAUGAUGUCAUCCUCAUGUGUCUUAUACAACAUUCACAAAUGUUUCAGUCUGUUCAAGAUGAUUAACAGCAGUGUUACUUGAGGUGUUAAUACAGGUUAUUUGCUGUGGUACUAAUGCAGAUUGUUGGGAGGCAACAAAAUGCUACCCAGCUAGACAUUUCUUUCCAAAAAAAAGAUGGAUUGAUAUAUAGAUACAAGUCUAGAUGGUUUUAUAGGAAGAAAUGACAGACAUUUACCAUGUUUUAAUGGUUUACCAGUAUAUUUCUCCAUUUCAAUUGAAUUUGUAACGCAUAUAGUCCCCUCAAGAUGGAUAUCAGUUGGCAUAAUUUUGGUACUAAUAAUUUUGUUCUAAAUAAGGUUCAUCCCUGCAUAGUUCUGUCUUUGAUCUAAUUAUUUUCUAUAUUUAGAUUUUGUUUUUUUCACAGCUUUGACAUUUGAAGUGGCACAAAAUGACUUGGCAGCUUUAAGUAGAGUCGAUAGGUCUCAGCUCAUUGACAUUUGGCAUUUUAACAAAUUUAAUUUAACAUUUUUUACUAUGGUACUUUGCUUGGCACACUCUUUUCAGUUAAUGCUGUUUUCAGUUAUUGAUUUAGUGGUUUAAAAUCUGUACUUUCUUGUACUCCAGUUAUGUUUCACUAGGGCAAUCAUGAGAAGAUGUGACAGGAAAAAAUCUGCGCUUAAUUACUGUAGACGAAAUUCUGUAUGACACUGUGUGACAUACUGGAUGAAUAAUUUAAACUUCCUGAUUUUGUUUUUUUCCCAUGGAGAUAACAAAAAGAUUCACAUCCUCUUCUAUUUGUAUUUAUUUACAAAGACAUGUUAGAAGUUUUUCCACAAUCUUGUUUACCAUUUCACUGUGUAAUGAUACAGAUUUUCCAGUCCAGUAUGAAGGCUGUUAUGCCCGCUGUAAACGUCUUAGUGCAACAUUUUAUGUCAUGUUGUAUUGAAGGUUGGAUUUUCAGUAAAAAACAACAGCAAAAAGAAUCAACAACCACUAUUGUGAUAGCUUUCAGGUGUAGCAUUUUUAGGGGUUGGCUCUUUUAUGCCUUGAAGCGAUCUUUAGUAUGCAUUUACUGUAUGACCAAAAUGAAAUGAAGAUAAAAAAUAUGUUUUUCAUUUUAACUUAUUAAGAGGAUUUAUUUGAUUUAAGUUAUCAAUGUUUUGAAUGUAUUUAUUAACAGACAUGAUACUGUAUUUAUACUGACAUGAUUUAAUUUGCGCCGAGUGAGGAUGGGGAAAAGAAGAAGAAGAAAAAAAAAAAAAACGUUUGUAUACUUUUGAUCUGCAUUGACAAUAUGUUGUUGGUUUAAACUUUGGGCUGUUUUGUAUGCUGAAUGUCUUGAUAUUAAAUUUUUAAUGUGGA